AGUGAACGCUGGCGGUAGGCCUAACACAUGCAAGUCGAACGGCAGCACAGUAAGCGCUUGCUCUUACGGGUGGCGAGUGGCGGACGGGUGAGGAAUACAUCGGAAUCUACUUUUUCGUGGGGGAUAACGUAGGGAAACUUACGCUAAUACCGCAUACGACCUACGGGUGAAAGCAGGGGAUCUUCGGACCUUGCGCGACUGAAUGAGCCGAUGUCGGAUUAGCUAGUUGGCGGGGUAAAGGCCCACCAAGGCGACGAUCCGUAGCUGGUCUGAGAGGAUGAUCAGCCACACUGGAACUGAGACACGGUCCAGACUCCUACGGGAGGCAGCAGUGGGGAAUAUUGGACAAUGGGCGCAAGCCUGAUCCAGCCAUACCGCGUGGGUGAAGAAGGCCUUCGGGUUGUAAAGCCCUUUUGUUAGGAAAGAAAAGCAGCAGGUUAAUACCCCGCUGUUCUGACGGUACCCAAAGAAUAAGCACCGGCUAACUUCGUG
rnacentral:rRNA from 1 species